UAAUGAGUGACUUACGGUUAAAUCUUCACGGAUCAGCUUGAACAUCUCCCUGUAGCACCAAGGCGGAAAACCAAAGUGGCUCAGGACUGUCUAUGGCGCCAAUGGUUGUGCUGCCACUGGUCGCAACUCUGCAACCACAACCCCUGCUGGAAAUAAAGAUUGUUACAACUAAAGCAAUUUACCGGACUUCAUAGCAGGAUCCCAGAGAAAGAACAUCGCCCCCAUGACAGCUGGAAGUAAUUCUAGAAGAUGACAUCCUCUCUCCCAACAAAGUUUGUCCUCAGGGUUAGGGACAUGAUUUAGGGGUUGAUGAUAAUUGAUAUAGGG